rnacentral:lncRNA from 1 species
GCCAGCCUGUGGAGAUCGUGUUGCCUGCGUGGCCCUGGGACACUGGGUCUCAUAAUGUUGUGAUAUAGAUGAAAUGAAUGGCAACCCACAUUAACCGCAGGCUGAACAACCCCCCUGGAAUGUUUGCUGAAGAGCAAGGCAGUGGAGGCUGGCCCACAGAGGAGCCCUAUCGCCAGCCAUCAGCAAAGACCAGACCUGGUGGAGACUGGAGGACACGCCUGAUAACUCAGUGCCCUUGAGAGCUUUCUAGGUGCCUCCAGGCUGCUCCAGUCCUGUGUGUGUGUGUGUGUGUGUGUGUGUGUGUGUGUGUGUGUGUUGUGUGUGAGAAAGAGAGGGAUACAGUCCCUGGUAGGUAGCAGUACUCUUAAAAGCUCCUACCACAUCCAUGACCUUGGCACUAACAGGAAGCCAAGCCUUUGUGGACAGAUCCCAUGAACUUGAACAAGGAGUUUAUAUAUCAAAUGGCCUCAUAGAGCUGUAAGAGGAAGCCCAGAUGAAUCUUUCUUGAAUGGACAAAUGCUUUCAUGUAAGUAGGAGGUGGAUUAGGUUCUGGAACUGCCCUGUCCCUCUCCAUUUACCCCACUCUUCUCUCUUCUCCUCUGAUUUCUUUGUGGUGCUGGAGGUGGACCUCGGCACUUCACAUGUUAGACAAGUGAAGUGUACCACUAAACUGUAUCUCAGUCUCAGAUGGAAUUUUCUUAAGGAAGUCCAGGAAAUAUUUCAAAUAGGCAACAGAACCUAAGAUUUGUCCAUAUUGACAAUUCCCAACUCAGCGACCAACCAACAAAUUAACCAACCAGCAGCCAACCAGCAAAUCAAGCAACUAGUUGAACCACCAAGCAACCAGCCAACCAUCUAAGCCACCAACCAACCAACUAAUCAGCUGACCCAGAAACCAAAUAGACAACCAACUGUACAGUCAACCAACCAACCAAGUAAACAACUAAUGGGAUAACCAUCAUUCAACAACCAAUGAAUCAAUGGACUGAACAACUAAACCAACUGGUCAUCCAACCAAUUGACUAACCAACUGAACAAUCAAUCAUCUAACCAACAGAGCCACUAAUCAACCAACCAACCAACCAACCAACCAACCAACCAACCAACCAACUAACCUAGCAUGAAAACAACUAAGUAACCAAUAACCAAGAAGUAGAACCACUAAUUGAAAUAUUCACUGGGUUGGAAAGAAAUCCCCUCUUCCAGUGUUUCUGCCCUUUGUCUCCCCCGAGCUCCAGUAGCGUUGCCUGUUCCUCAGACACCUUCUGGGCCAUUCUACCACUGCCUGUUUCCAUUCCUCUAGAAAUUGCUGUGCAGGGCACCUCUGUCCCUUGCACCACUGGUCACAGGCUUCUCACCUGCAGCCAGUGCACAAACAACAUGGCUAGAAAGGCAUACAAUGAAG